rnacentral:rRNA from 1 species
UACGGAGGGUCCAAGCGUUGUCCGGAAUUACUGGGCGUAAAGGGCGCGUAGGCGGCCUGCUAAGUCACACGUGAAAUCCCUCGGCUCAACCGGGGAACUGCGUGUGAUACUGGCGGGCUUGAAUUCGGGAGAGGGAUGUGGAAUUCCAGGUGUAGCGGUGAAAUGCGUAGAUAUCUGGAGGAACACCGGUGGCGAAGGCGGCAUCCUG